UGAAUUAAAGGAGUUUUUAACAUUUUUUAUUUUUUAUUAUUUUUUUCACCCUUCACUUUACAGAAACCCAAGCACAUGAGAAGUUUUGUUUCCCGUAUCUUCAACUGGCUCUUUGCCUAACUCCUCCCCUUCCUCCUCCCUUAUGUUCUCCCUAAUCUGUCAAAAUAAACCAGAGUUUUCCAAUCUACCAGCGACAAAAAAAUUAACCACUAUUUUCUAUUACUUUGCCUACCUAUAAGUGCAAUCCAUCAUUGCACAAACCACCUGCCAAUGCCAUGUCCCAAUCUUUGAAAUUUGAUUUCUGAAAACGAAAUCAAAAGUCUAGUUAUAAUUAUGAAAAUACAGAUUCAACAUCUUCAAACAUAACCUCCACCAGUCAAAUCAUCACCACCAACACAGACAAUUAAACCCACUCAAAUCAUAACCACCACCUAACCAGCAUAGCCAACUCAAUAGCCAUACCAGAUGGUACCCAAAUAUGGUACAAAUAGAUGGUCUCCCUAGCAUAUUACCCAAAAUAUUUAUAUUACUAUGCACAGUAAUUCAAGUACCAUACUGAUAAAUCACAUAUUACCAUAUCUAAAAUACGUAAUACUUUUGAGGUGUCCCUAAUAGUAUGGGCAACUGCAAAACAUUUUUUUAUAUUUUUUUUUAUACUUAAUUAAUUUAAACAUAUUUUUAUUGUACCAAUUUCUGUUUAUUUAAUAAAAUAUCUUCACUUUUAACUUUCUUAUUCGCCAAGUGGAAUUUAUGGGGUUUUAAAUGUUUCAACCUUCUACCUUUAUAUAGAUAGAUAAAUACAGAAAAAUCAAAACAAUUUCGUAUUACAAUUUUUACAUGUAUGUAAUUUAUCAUAUGGGACAUAAAAUGGAAAAAAAAAAGGUGAAAACAUAUAAAUAAAAUGUUAGUUAUACUAAUAAAUAUCCUUCAAGUUUUUGGCUUUUUCACAAAAAACUCAUGAGGUUUUUGAAAUUACACAGACACCUUCUAAGAUUUCAAAUUAUUUUCACAAAACCCUCUGAGGUUUUCCCAAAACCUCUUUUCGUUAACUGUUGGUCCAAAACUUGAUGAUUUCAUUUAAAAAGGCGUGUGCAAAUGACAAAAUCAACCAUGGUAAAAAUAAAAUGCAAGGGUAAAGUUGGAAAGUAAAUAAUUUUCGUUUAAGGAGCUGUUGCCAGCUGGGGUCCGUACGCGGGUUUUUGGUGAAACCCGAUCGAUCGAUGCGAAUUUAAAUACUAGUCGGUAGUUGAAAUGAAAAGCCAUUCUCUGUUUUGUUUUCUUCAAUUUGGCGCCUUAGCUUCGUCGUUUUCACGCACAGUGAGAUACAGGGAAAAAUGAGUUCGAGUUCAUGGAGCAACAUCUUCUGGAACCUUCUUGGAGAACAAAAUUCGUUCUGAGAAAGCCUAAUUGGGAGAAUUUGGAUAUAUUUAUACCCAAUCGGGCGGCACUGGACCUUGAUUACGUGCAUUACAUGGUCACAGGAAGGAGAAAAGGAAUCAAGAACCCAUGAGCUGCAAGCUCAACAUAUCAGAAGCUACUGACUGAGACCUUCAACAUGAACCGAGCACGAAUCUUCACAUUCAAGAACAAACUGCCAACCCCAGUUGAAGCCAUUCCAAGGAGAUUGCCUUCACCCCUCUUCAUAAGGCCAAAUCUAUCAAGCCCUGUCAAAGGAUUCCUAAGGUAUAAUUGCACUAAUAUCAUCAAACUUGAAUUUGGAUUGUGGACUCUUGAAUUCCUUGUGAGAAUGUGAAGGUUGAAUUCCUUGUGAGAAUGUGAAGGUGA